rnacentral:rRNA from 1 species
UACGAAGGGGGCUAGCGUUGCUCGGAAUCACUGGGCGUAAAGCGCACGUAGGCGGCUUUCUAAGUCAGGGGUGAAAUCCUGGAGCUCAACUCCAGAACUGCCUUUGAUACUGGAGAGCUUGAGUCCGGGAGAGGUGAGUGGAACUCCGAGUGUAGAGGUGAAAUUCGUAGAUAUUGGGAAGAACACCGGUGGCGAAGGCGGCGCUCUGGACCGAGACUGACGCUGAGGCGCGAAAGCGUGGGGAGCAAACAGG